UGCGUAUGUCCAGUCCAUUAGUCACUGCCUGUUCCCUGCAGGUGACAGCACUAGUGACCCUUGCAGCCUGCGAUAUUGGCCACCAAGGCAUUAAAGCGUUCUUAACUUUCAUCAUCAUCGCGUGGCGGAAAUUGAAUACCGAAUAGCAGACCCGGCUAAAGCCUCUAUCAUGGGGGACAGUGAUGAUGACUACGAUCGUCGGAGAAGAGACAAGUUCCGGGGAGAAAGGAGUGAGUAUCGUGCAGCUGGAGAGUCUGGAAGAAGAGAGGAAAGAGGAAACCCUCGUAGAGAAGAGUGGAAUGACAGAGGACUUAUGGAACCCAGACGAGGAGAGUCCUGGAAUUCACAGAGAGGAUCACGUUCCCAACCACGUCAUGAAUACCGUGAAUCUUACCGUGGUCGUGAACGAUACAGCCCUGCUGGUGGUUAUGAUGCACCCCAAGUACCCAAAAGAAUGAGGCCUGACUGGGAAGAUAGGCGCUAUGGGUUUGAUGGUGGCUAUGGGCCUAACUUAGGAUCUUCCUGGGGCCAGAAUGAAGCAAUCAUCAAUACCCCACCCAGUGCCGGGAACUUUGGUGGUUCUUCGUCAAGAGGGGAGGAAUUUCCAACCCAACCACCAAUGAUGUCUUUCAAGGCCUUCCUUGCUGCCCAUGAUGACUCAAUUUCCGAUGAAGAAGCUGUAAAAAAAUAUGCUGAGUACAAGCUAGAAUUUCGCCGUCAACAGCUGAACGAAUUUUUUACAAGUCACAAAGACGAAGAGUGGUUCAAGUUGAAAUAUCACCCAGAGGAAAACCAAAAAAGGAAAAACGAGCAUCAGGCCCAUAUUGAACUUCGUGUUAAAACCAUGUUGGAUUUAAUGGGAGAGGGUUAUUUAGACCAAGUGACAAUUGACGCUGAUCAGUCAGAGAAAUUAGUUAAACUGCUUGACACGGUGGUUAUUAAACUUGAAGGCGGAUCUGAAGUGGAUCUUCAGGUACUUGAGAACCCUCCCGUACAACCAGCAGCUGAAAAGCCUAAAAGGAACCAAGAAAAAGUUGCAAGCGAGGGUGACAAUAAAGAAACAGAGGAAAUGCAAGAGGGCGAAAAUGUGAAAGAUGAUGGCGUAUUGGAAGAUUUGAAAACCGACACUAUCGAUGAUCCCAAAAACGCCGUCAAUAAUAAAGGGAGUAAAAGAAAGAGAAGUGGUUUCGAUUCCGACAGUGGUAGUGAUUGGGAACGCGAAGGCAAAGGGCAGUCCGAUGUUUCCGAAGCGCCUCAGAGCCCUGAUGGUAAGUUGGAUGGUGCAGAGGCUAGUCCAUCCCACACAACCGAAGAAACAGAGGAAAACCAAGUAAAAGAAGUUGAGAAAGAGAAGGUUGAUGAAGGCGAAGAAAAAACAGAAGAAAAAAAGGAAAACGGCGCGUCUGUGCAGCCCCGAGAGUUACACCGGACGGCUUCAAUAUUUCUUCGUAAUUUGGCACCGACCAUCACUAAAUUGGAAGUCGAAGCGAUGUGCAAACGAUAUCCAGGAUUUCUUCGUGCGGCCAUUGCCGACCCCCAGCCAGAACGCAGGUGGUUUCGACGUGGAUGGGUGACGUUUGAACGUAACGUGAAUAUUAAAGAAAUUUGCUGGAAUUUAAACAAUAUUAGGCUGCGGGACACCGAAUUGGGGGCCAUCGUGAAUCGCGAUUUAAGUCGUCGCAUACGUACUGUUAGUGGCAUAACGUCGCAUAAACAGGUUGUCAGAAAUGAUAUACGCUUGGCAGCCAAAAUCAUCCAAAAUUUGGAUGCACGUUUGGGUCUUUGGGUCGAUGAAAAUGAUAAAGCCAAAAACCCAGCUGGGGCUGAAUCGACUCUAAGCUUCUCCGGAACGAGUCGGAACCCUGUUCUUCAUAACAUUACAGACUUUUUGAUUGAAGAAGCUUCUGCCGAAGAAGAAGAGCUUUUGGGUGCAUCAGCCAACGAAGAAGGCGAAGAGGCCGAUGCAGCUGCAGGCCUCACUAGAGACGACGAGUUAAUUAAAGUCUUGGAUCGCCUACUCUUCUAUUUGCGCAUCGUUCAUUCGGUCGACUAUUACAACCACUGUGAAUAUCCGAACGAGGAUGAGAUGCCAAACCGUUGUGGCAUAAUGCACGCACGCGGAAUUCCACCAUCAUCCAAAGUCACCCAGAGUGAAAUUAAUGACUACUGUAGGUCUUUUGAAAGUAAAAUUGCUUCAUUCCUGGAACCUAUAAAACGCCUAAGCGAUGAAGAAGCGAGCAAGCUGGGAUUGAAAGAAUCUAAAGCUGAAGUCGAGAAAUUCGUCGCUGCUAACACUCAGGAACUUGCCAAGGACAAGUGGCUGUGUCCUCUCUCAGGAAAGAAGUUUAAGGGUCCUGAUUUCGUACGCAAACAUGUAUUCAACAAACAUGCCGAGAAGGUUGAUGAGGUACGGAAGGAUGUAGAAUACUUCAACAACUACCUGCGUGAUCCGAAAAGGCCUCAGCUGCCUGAGCAUCCCGGAAACCGAGCUGCGGGAGUUAGACCUUCACCGAUAAAUGAAUCCCAAAGGGGCGACCAUUUCGGUCCACCCGGAGGUUUUGGGUAUGGUAAUUUUAACUAUGGCGGUGGAAGAGGAGGUUUCGGUGGAGGUGGUUUCGGAGGACCUAAUAAUUUUGGUAACGUUGGAGGAGGAGGAGGCAGAGAUUUCGGCUUUGCUGGUCGAAAUAAUCGAGGAGGAAGAGGCCGUGGGCCCCAACAGUCCUCGUAUGAAGGUCGGACAAUAAUUGGCUAUGAUGACGUUGAUACUCCAGCUGACUUCGACGUCUUCUAAUAAAGAACAAGCUACCCCCCAAACGUUGUUUUCUUUGCUUUCGUUUGAAUACCAGAAACUGUUGCUUUCCUUCCCUUUUAAGCGUGGUGGUCUCCGUCAUAUGUCACACUAUCGGGAUCUCGAUCGACCCAACGAUGAAGAAUUUUGAACCUACAUAUUUCGUAUGUCGACACUGCAUAGGUGUAUCGUUUAACUUGAUCCCUUGAUUUUAUCUGACCAACACCUCCCUUGCUGUCUUCACUUUUAGUUGGAAAGUUUGUGGAUUCAUGUUUGCAAUGAUGCACGUUCAUUUCUUUCAUUUUGUCAUUCAGUCGUCAGUUCUCAAAUGCGCUGGUUUUUUCCUUUGUAUUACAACAUAAACCGGAACUUAAAGAAGUC